rnacentral:lncRNA from 1 species
CAGCUCUGUAACAAUGUAGGUCAAUGUUAGGCCAGGUCCCUCAUCCAUGGGAACAUGUUCAAGAGGCCAAAUCCCAACUGAGGGAGCGGUAGCCAGCUGGCCAGUCCGGGGUGCAUCCCAAAAUACAGCUUGUUUUAAUUAAACAACCGAGGACUCUGUCUUCUUGCAAUUCUCGGGUUCAGCCUGGACGCUUGCCUCUGCCUGGUCCCUCCCUUAUACCUACAAUAGAAAUCCUCCCCAUAUGUGAGGAGUAGACAGGUCCUGCACCUUUCAUUUUAUUUUUCUCAUUCACAGAUCAAGGCUUUGUGGGUUUGUUGUUUGAUACACAGCUCACUCUCUAGCCCAGCCUGGCCUAGGGCUCCCAGAGCACUUCUUGCUGCAGCAGACAACCACUCCCUGCCCAGAAGCAGACUGAUCUCCCGUGCCACAUCCUAAUCCUCAGACAUCUUUCCUCCCAUCUGUGCUUCCCAGAUGCCCGAGCUAACCCCAGCAGUGGGUACUGCAGCAUACAAGGUGAACGUUGUGCGCAGCUCCUUCAGUGCAGUACACCAUGGCUGUGGUAGUUGUCUUUCAUCCGAAGACCUGCCUGGACUACCUGGGUCCAGAAAACCUCGUAGGAGGCAGCCAUGGCCAGAGCCUUCUGAAGCCAUGUACCCAUGUAAAGCCUUCUUUCCCUAAGCCCCUUGAGAAUCCUGUCACCGUGGGAAGCCUCUGCACACAGGUGGGCUUGGGAUUUCAGGCUGUGAACCCCGUCUUCUCUAACAUUGUAUUCUAAUUAUGUUUUUAAUUGUUAAAGACAAUGUCUAUAACAAUUUAAAACAAAGUUCUCUUGUUUCAUUCCUCUUGCUGUUGGAAAAUACCCUGCCCUAAGUAACUCAGAGGAGAAAGAAGGUGCUUCAGCUAACAGCACCAGGUCGUGGUCCUUCUCCAUGGGGAAGUCAAGACAAGAACUUGGACAGCUGGACACAUGGCAUUCAGUCAAGAGCAGAGAGAAGUAAACACAUGCAUGCUCCCUCACAUGUUUGCUAUGUGAACGGACACAGUUCAGGACCCCAUGCGUAG